rnacentral:lncRNA from 1 species
GCAAAGCACCUGCGGCAUAUGGAAGUUUCCAGGCUAGGGGUCAAAUUGGAGCUGUAACUGUCGGCCUUUACCACAGCCACGGCAACGUGGGGUCUGGGCUGCAUCUACAACCUACACCACAGCUCACAUCAACGCUGGCCCCUUAACCCGCUGCGAGGCCAGGGAUAGAACCUGCAUCCUCACGGAUACUCGUGGGGCUCGUUUCUGCUAAGCCACAGUGGGAACGCCUCUUAUGCGUGACUUUUGGCCAAAGGGACCGGCUCUACCAAAAACAGGGACUGAAGCAUACCCAGGUGACUAUCUGGCUCACCUGAUUCUCUUCCCAGUGGGGCUUUGAAACAUGGGGACAAACUUUAGACACAGAGAAUGGAGCCAUUGCCUCUGUCGGGAUGGGAGAAAUUCACAGAUGUCUUGACAGCAGCUACCUCGCGACACUGAGUGGUAGCGGACCACUGGAAAAACUCUGGGUAAGAAAGACUAUCAAAGGAGCAUCAGGUCCAGAUUGCAAAUUGCUUUAGCAGCUAAAACAGGCAGAAAGAUAGAGCAACUCACGCUAAUCCAGGGGGUUUAUGCUUCGGGCUGGCUGCCUCUGACGCCCACCCUUGACCCAGCCCAUUCAUCAGUAUUUUGAUAAGCAGAUUCCCCUGCAGAGCUUCUUAAUCUGGGUUCCCAGAGGAGUCUUGCAGAGAUUAAUGAGAGCCCUGCCGCUGCCUGCCAGCUCUUGAGGGUGGGGCAGUUAAAUCACAAAAGGGAAGGGACUGGUCGAGGAUGCCCAAACUCUCCCAUCACUGGACCUGACGCCUCUAGGGGUCAACUCAGUAUCUUUUCAACUUAAAUACCUGGAUCUGUUUUUAUUUUUAUUUUUAAUCCACUUUCUCCUUGGUAUCUAGGGAAAUUAAAGCCCUGGCUCACAUCUUCCUUAAGGCCAGCUUUUAGCCAGAGCCAUGACAGCAUCUGGAGCUCAACAAAGAUUAGGGGCAGAGGCAGGCAGGAAUGCCAGGGACAGAGAGGAAAUCCAGUGCUACCAAGGGCACCACCAAUGUGCUGUACCCGCCAUGCAGCCCUCCCACCAAAUACCCUCUGGCUACAGUCCCCUGACAGUGGUGGGAGGGGAAGCUGGGGCUGCAACCCCAAAGCCUGAGCCCUCACAGAAGUGCAGCCCCUAAGACAAAAAAAAAAAAAAAAAGGGAGUUCCCAUCGUGGUGCAGUGGUUAACGAAUCCGACUAGGAACCGUGAGGUUGCGGGUUUGGUCCUUGCCCUUGCUCAGUGGGUUAACGAUCCGGCGUUGCCAUGAGCUGUGGUGUAGGUUGCAGACGCGGCUCAGAUCCCGCGCUGCUGUGGCUCUGGCGUAGGCCGGUGGCUACAGCUCCGAUUCCACCCCUAGCCUGGGAACUUCCAUAUGCCACGGGAGUGGCCCAAGAAAUAGCAAAAAAAGACAAAAAAAAAAAAAGAAAAGAUGCUCCGGGGAGUCGCCACACCCCAAACCGCAGGGCUGGUCUCUGCUCUUGGUGUUGCCUAAUAGCUCCUCCAAUUGUUAUUCAUUUAUGGAUUUAUUUUGCUUUUGAUUUUAUUUUGCUUUUACAUAUUUAUUUUUUAGGCUGCCCCUCGGCUUAUGGAGUUCUCAGGCCAGGGAUCAGAUGUGAGUCGAAGCCGGGACGAAGCCGCAGGUGCAGCAAUGCCAGAUCCUCAACCCACAGUGCCAAGCCAGGGGUGGAACCCGCAUCUCAGCAUUCCCAAGAGGCUGCCGAUCCCACUGCACCACAGCGGGAACUCUGCAGGCUGGGUUCCCUGUGAGACGUGAUCUGGGGAAAUUUUCUGGGCUGUCCUCUGGAGAGAUGGGACUUAUUUUGAAGUAAGAUGUGAUGAGGGAACCCUAGAUUUGAGUUCAGUUUGUGAAUUAUUGGGGCGGGGGGGGGUAAAAUCAGGCUUACCGAGCUUGUAGGACCUUGCAUGUGCUGGAAGAAAAAGUCUUACAAAUUCCAAGUGACAGGUAUGGCAAGAAGGAGGAGGACGAGCCGGGACAGCAGCUUCAACUCUGGCUGCUCCCGUGCUGACAUGUGUCCACUGAACGCAGCCUCAGGACUUGGGGGAAAAAGACCGUCACGCGGAGCUCCGAGCUCACGAGCAGGUCUAAAGGGACCGGCAAGUCAACUAACAAAGGCGUCGGGGGUGGGAACCCCCCUGGGUCUUCCCUCGCCCCUCCUGUGACCACGGCUGGCAUCUCAGGCCCGCUGUCCGUGAACAGACAGGGAAAUAGCUAACUACCCAGCUGAGUCCACGUUCAGCCCCAGAGGAAGGUCGACGGCUGACUGUCUAGGAGUCUGCGGUCUCACUGACACCAGCAGCUCUCAGAGUGUGGAGCACAGCUGCCCUCCGUCUAUGGCUGUGGACUGGGGGGGGGGGGACAAACAUGUGCUGGGAGGGGGCCGUCCCAGCCCCUCCGGCCAGGCUCCUCAGAGGCUGGCGCAUCACCCAGCCCCCAGGUGGGGGCAUCAUGGUGGAGACCACGGCUGCCCCUGCAUCAGCUGUCCUGGUUCAGCAGACCUUCCUUCUUUAGCCAGACCUGGAAGCCAAAGAGGUCAGGCCAACCUGCAGCUCGGGGUCCAGCCCAGACGGGCGGCUACCUGGCCAGCCUCCUGGCCUCUGUAUGCGGCGCAGCCUGCUCUGGAUGGUAGGCUCCCUGCCCAGGAUUUGCAGUGAACUUGGCUGCUCCCUGCGGGAUUUACUGGGUCUGGACCUGCCCGCGGUAGAAGGUCAAGUGUCAGUUCAACGAGGGAGCCCCUGUCCCCCUUCGUCUUCCUGACUUCCCUUCUCCCCAGCCACCUUUUCUUCUCCACACUGGCCUUCUCUUGGCUCAGUUUCUCUCUGACCUUGACCGACCUCUGGUGUGCUGGGUAUUUUUCCAAGGACCACGUUGGCCCAUCAGACGUGCAAAAGGGCAGGAGCCUGGUCUCUCCUCCAACGAGCCACCCAGCGCCGUGCAGUCCGCAGCACCAAGACACAGAGAGGCCCUGAUGUGCUAAUGGUCCUUCAGAGCUCAGCUGAAGAGCUGGACAAGACUCCAAGAGUCCCGACUCGCCACACACAUCCUGACUCAAACUCAGUCUUUGUCUCAAGGGUGAUGGAUGCCAGGCUACCCGUGACAGGAAGGGCAACCUCUGAGUAUUUCCAACACAACAGGCAAAGCUCUCACCCGUGGAGUUUAUAUUAUGUCAUCAUCCCCCAGGUUCCUCGCAGCCCCCAGGACAGGCGGCCAGGGCGGGUCCUUGCAAUCCUUCGGUCUUUAAAUGGUUAUUGAAGACAUUCCCUCUCAGAAAGGGGCACUGAGCGGAGACUGCAGGGAGACCACUGGUCCGCCUUGGGCGUUCCUGGACCAGAUGCUCACCCAGUGUUCCCAAGCACAGUCUUCCUAAGAGCGGCACGAGGCGGGAUGGUUGGGGCACCCUCGUUGUGGCCCCAGUUGCCCCAAGCCAUCACCUGCCUACCGCCAGUAAAGGGUCAACAGAAAAUAUCUCAGACUGUUCAGGGCCACGUGCCAUCUCUGCUGCAUAUACUCUAUUCCUCGAAGUUUAUUUUUUAAAAACUUUUUGAAAAUGUAAGGACCACUCUUAGCGUGAGGUGCAGAACAAGACAGGCAGCAGGUGGGUUUGGCUCACAGACAGGCCACGGCUUGCAGAGCCCUGGCCAAUCGGAAGAAGCCACGACAUUUUUUAUCAGUCCUCCCCAAGCAGCACCGCCACCCCCGCCCUCCCAGUCAUGACACCUCCAGACCCUCCCACGCACCCAAGGACUGCCCCUGACUCUGCUCCAACGGCUCUCGGCAUCUGUGCUCAGGCCCAGGAGGGCCUCCCUCAGCAAACAUUUCAUGGAGAAAGCACGUCGUACAGAUGCCAACAACGAGCUCCUGUGUCUCUCUCAUGCUUAACCGGGGAUGCUCAAGGCCCAGACAGCCUCAUCCUGCACUGUGAGGGCUCACCUGACCGCACUCGUGUGGCCGUGUCCACAUAUCUCCCCACCAUAACAGUGCCACUUAGUUAAUGACUUCACUUGGGUUCUUCUACUCCCCCUCCCGUGUGGGUACAGGGUGGGCAGAGCAAGGGCAAGACAGAUCCCAUCAGCUGCGUCUCGCAGCAUAGCCAGGACCCAUCACUCCCCACCUCCACUGUAGCACCCAGGCCACACCCUUCUCCCUGGAUGCCCACCGCCACAGCCUCCCACCUGAGCCCCCUGCUUCUGUCUCUGCCCUCCUUCCUCUCCCUUUCAACACCUCUGGGAGUUCCCAUCGUGGCACAGUGGAAACAAAUCUAACUAGGAACCAUGAGGUUGCAGCCCCUGUCCCAUUUUAAAGUUUUACUUCCUAGGUCAUCCCAGAUUUGUAAUUCAUGCAUAACACAGGCCCCUAGUACUUCUUGAGCCCUCCCUGGAAAUCCAGAGAUGAAAAAGGCCCAGCCUCUGUCUGUUCUUAAGUCCUCAGGGCAUGGGCAGCCCCGUGGGAGAAAAAGCACUCGGGGAUCAACACGGGGUUGCAGCUUGCUUGCAUGAUCUGUUCCCGUGUCUGAGAUUGUCUGGGUGAGACUCCCCUUCGCCAGCUGCCCGUCCACGGAGCGCUGCCUCCCCUAGCUGGACAGGCUGCACCAGUCGCCACAGGAGGCCUCAGCGUUCCUUCCCACCCCCGGGGCAGAUCUCAAGUAAGAUCCUCAAGCCCCGCCAGGCUCGUCCCCCCAGCGGAUCACACACUACCCCGACCCCAGUCCUCCGUCCCGGCUGUUAGCGUGGGGCUGCUGGUUUCCUACCACCUCCUCUUAUCUCCCUGAAGACACCAAGGGCUUCCCAAUGGAAGUAAAUUAAAACCUCUGUUUUAACCAGCGCGGGAGCCCUUGCAAGCGUGCCUCCGAUUAAGCGGGAUCGCUCUGGUUUCCAGACAACAGCCUCUCAAGCAAACUCCUUCCCUUCGUUCCUGGGCCCAGCAAACAGCCCCUCCCGGGCCCCAGCCUGCUGCUCCUUGUCCCCACUCGGGUUCUCCCGCACUUGGAGAAGCACACCUGACAGAUUUCACAUCCUUCGGGCCAGGCAGCACCACGUGCGGAAACCCCUGCUUCUACUUCGUUUUCUACAGCUUGUAUGUGAAGAACAUCUGGGCCUGUUACUCAGUUUUGAGAAAAAGUAGGGAAGUUCGUGGCCUGAAUAGUUACUUGGUGAAGGUGAAAGGUAAACCUACCUACGACAGCAAACUCGCAGCAGCAGCAGCAGCAGCAGCGUGAUUACAGCAGCGCCUGGUAGGGUUCCCAGUGCUGUACAUACGCUCAUCACGGAAGCCGCCACGGGCCUAUGAUGUUGUCUUAUUACAGGUCGUGAAAGCGGGACCCAAAGAGCUUAACUGUCUUGCCUGGAGUCAUCCAGUUCCCCACGGGCAGCGCUGGGAUUUGCACCUUUGUCAUCCAGCUCAGAGGGGACUACGCACCGGGAAGGGAGCAAGAGAACCGAGGCGCUUCCCCGCCCCUUACAGGCAGCACACAGCAAGCCCUGCAGAUAAGCUGCAUUUGUACAUAUUUACAUGUCACCUUCAGGAAGAGCAGGGUUUGCCC